UUUAUUAAAUAAUUUAUAAAAUAGAAAUAUAUUAAAAUUUUUAUGUUUUUGUUUAUUAUUAAGUUUUUAGGUUAUGAAAUUUUAUAUUGAUUUUUUGUUGAAGUUAUAAUUAGCGGCACAUUGGGAUUUUUUUUAUUUGUUUACCAAUAUCAUUUACUAUUAUUAGAUAUUUAGUGAUAUUUGUUUAGUAAUGUUUAACAUAUUAAUUAAUUUAAUUUCAUAGGUUGUGAUUUUUGUGGUGAGAUUUUAGAGAGUAUUUUGCAUCAAAAUUCCAAUAUCAAUCACACAUUUGAGCGAAUUUGAUUACUAAGUGAAGUAACUUUGCUAGCUUUUGGAUUAAAGAUUGCAAGAGAAGAAUAUAUGGAUAAACAGUGGAUGUCAGCAAAUAGGUUAUCUGCGGAAUUUAGGAACGGGGUUGAUUUGUUCUUAAGGUUUUGUUCGGAAAAUGUGAAAGACCCAAAUUUUACUUAUUGUCCAUGUCUUAAGUGUGGAAAUGUUAAAAAGAUGGAUCUUAAAAAGAUUAAAGAACACUUAUAUUUCAAUGGGAUCGACAAGAGUUACAGAAUUUGGUAUUACCAUGGGGAGAUAGCUCCGAUUGCUCCAACUCUGCCAAGUAGACCAAAAGGAGUGAGGAGGAAUAUAGUGGAGGAGAACUGGGAUCCAUUAGAUGAAAUGAUUGACGACGCACAUUAUGGAUCAGGAGUAGACCCA